CCUACGGGAGGCUGCAGUAGGGAAUCUUCGGCAAUGGGGGGAACCCUGACCGAGCAACGCCGCGUGAGGGAGGGAGUAUUUCGGUAUGUACACCUCUGGUAUAAAGGAAGAACGGUGCAUGUAGGGAAUGACCUGCAAGUGACGGUACUUUAUGAGGAAGCCACGGCCAACUACGUGCCAGAAGCCGCGGUAAUACGUAGGUGGCGAGCGUUAUCCGGAAUUAGUGGGCGUAAAGAGGGAUCAGGCGGCAGCUAAGAGCUGCGGUGAAAGCCCGAAGCUAAACUUCGGUAAGCCGUGGAAAGCGAGCAGCUAGAGUGCAGUAGAGGAUCGUGGAAUUCCAUGUGUAGCGGUGAACUGCGUAGAUAUAUGGAGGAACACCAGUGGCGAAGGCGACGAUCUGGGCUGCAACUGACGCUCAGUCCCGAAAGCGUGGGGAGCAAAUAGGAUUAGAUACCCCUGUAGUC
rnacentral:rRNA from 1 species